GAUGAACGCUGGCGGCGUGCCUAAUACAUGCAAGUCGAGCGGUAACACUUCGGGUGACGAGCGGCGGACGGCUGAGUAACACGUAGGAACGUACCCCAAACUGAGGGAUAAGCACCGGAAACGGUGUCUAAUACCGCAUGUGGUCUUCGGAUUAAAGCUUCGGCGGUUUGGGAACGGCCUGCGCAUGAUUAGCUUGUUGGUGAGGUAAUAGCUCACCAAGGCGACGAUCAUUAGCUGGUCUAAGAGGAUGAUCAGCCAGACUGGGACUGAGAACGGCCCUGACUCCUACGGGAGGCAGCAGUAGGGAAUCUUCCACAAUGGGCGAAAGCCUGAUGGAGCAACGCCGCGUGCAGGAUGAAGGCCUUCGGGUCGUAAACUGCUUUUAUUGGUGACGAUUAUGACGGUAGCCAAUGAAUAAGGAUCGGCUAACUCCGUGCCAGCAGCCGCGGUAA
rnacentral:rRNA from 1 species